AAGAGUUGCAAAACUCCAACCAUUGCGAAUGUAACCUAUUACAGUUGCUUCAGCGGGUGGCUCUGAGAGGUGCCGCGCUCCCCCACGGGGGUAUGCCCGCUGGAGUCGUACAAACUCUUAUAUUUGUUGGCAUCUCUGAGUAACUUUACAAUAAGUUA
rnacentral:misc_RNA from 1 species